rnacentral:lncRNA from 1 species
ACCCUUCUUUCUGUAAGCCCCAUGAGAAGCUCAUCCAGGCUGGUCCUGGGCAAAGCUGGAAGGGAGAGAACCUAAAGAUCUGGCCCAUCUGUCCUUCACUGCCGGCUUCCCUGCAGUCCUUUUCCAGAAACCACACCCCACAUUCUCAGCCUAUCAACAGCGUCCUGGUGACCAGGUACAUUCUCAUUCUAUCAUGAGAUUGCUGAAAACUAAAGAAGGCAUCAAGACCCCCACAUGAAUUUCUACUGAUACAAUUUCAGACCUGUGCAGGAAAAUAUUUAAGACAGAAAACGCUUUCUCGAGAGGGUGCCUUCAAAGUUCCCGGAGCUCUUGUCCCUCAGCUGACUCUCACAAACCUGAAACCAAGUGACCCGGCAGCUGCGGGCUCCUCCAUUGACUCAGGCUUCAUCAGAGAGCACCAUAAGUGCCGUAUCUCCUGCUUCAGACCACCUGAGGACCAUUCUACCUGUAUUAUUCAUCUGCUAGGGCUGCCAUAACAGAAUAUCACAAUCCUAGCACAUAAAAUAUGGAAGAGGUCCUCCACAAUGGAGAAAACUAUUGGGGAUAUGCCUUCUGGAGUUUGAUCAAGGAAGAUGGACACAAACAGAAAAGAAAAACAGUCCAGAGGAAGCUGAAGGGUCUCCUACAUUGCACCAGAUGCUGCAGAUGGGGAGGACCAUUCCACUGGAUGCAUUCGGGACUGUAAACAGCAGACUGUGAGUGCGGCAGGCAGGGAUCACCCAGGCUUGACAACUCAACAGAAUAAGGUAACAAAGGCUUAAGGAAAUUAAAUGACAAAAUGGCAAAGCCAGGCUUUGAAGUCACAUCCCUUAACCUUUGUGGCAGUGGAGAGGUGACAGAUGGAAGGUGAGCAGUUGAUUUCAGGAUAAUAAGA